rnacentral:rRNA from 1 species
UAUCAAUAAGCGGAGGAAAAGAAACCCAACAGGGAUUGCCUCAGUAACGGCGAGUGAAGCGGCAACAGCUCAAAUUUGAAAUCUGGCCUCGGCCCGAGUUGUAAUUUGUAGAGGAAGCUUUUGGUGCGGCACCGACCGAGUCCCCUGGAACGGGGCGCCAUAGAGGGUGAGAGCCCCGUAUGGUUGGACGCCUAUCCUCUGUAAAGCUCCUUCGACGAGUCGAGUAGUUUGGGAAUGCUGCUCAAAAUGGGAGGUAAAUUUCUUCUAAAGCUAAAUAUUGGCCAGAGACCGAUAGCGCACAAGUAGAGUGAUCGAAAGAUGAAAAGCACUUUGAAAAGAGGGUUAAAUAGCACGUGAAAUUGUUGAAAGGGAAGCGCUUGUGACCAGACUUGCGCCUCGUCGAUCAUCCGGGGUUCUCCCCGGUGCACUCGGCGGGGCUCAGGCCAGCAUCGGUUUUCGUGGGGGGACAAAGGCACCGGGAACGUAGCUCCUCCGGGAGUGUUAUAGCCCGGGGCGUAAUGCCCUCGCGGGGACCGAGGACCGCGCUUCGGCAAGGAUGCUGGCGUAAUGGUCAUCAGCGACCCGUCUUGAAACACGGACCAAGGAGUCAAGGUUUUGCGCGAGUGUUUGGGUGUAAAACCCGCACGCGUAAUGAAAGUGAACGUAGGUGAGAGCUUCGGCGCAUCAUCGACCGAUCCUGAUGUAUUCGGAUGGAUUUGAGUAGGAGCGUUAAGCCUUGGACCCGAAAGAUGGUGAACUAUGCUUGGAUAGGGUGAAGCCAGAGGAAACUCUGGUGGAGGCUCGCAGCGGUUCUGACGUGCAAAUCGAUCGUCAAAUCUGAGCAUGGGGGCGAAAGACUAAUCGAACCAUCUAGUAGCUGGUUACCGCCGAA